rnacentral:rRNA from 1 species
UACGUAGGGGCCUAGCGUUGUCCGGAAUUAUUGGGCGUAAAGAGCUCGUAGGCGGUUCGGCAAGUCGGAUGUGAAAUCUCCACGCUUAACGUGGAGGGGCCAUUCGAAACUGCCGUGACUCGAGUCCGGUAGGGGAGUGUGGAAUUCCCGGUGUAGCGGUGAAAUGCGCAGAUAUCGGGAGGAACACCAGUAGUGAAGGCGGCACUCUGGGCCGGUACUGACGCUGAGGAGCGAAAGCGUGGGGAGCGAACAGG